UUAAUUGAAACCAAAAAGAGGUAAAUUAUUGUUAAUAAUUUAAUUGAAUAAUAUUCCAAUUAAA
rnacentral:tRNA from 1 species